rnacentral:lncRNA from 1 species
AUGGCCCUCAAGGAAGAUACUGAGACCACAGGCAGUUCCUCCAGUGACCGUGAAAAGAUCCCCUGGGGCACAAGUCUAAUUUGGCACCCCCAUCUUUCUCCUGCAGCUUUUCUGUCUACUUAGCUAACCAGCAGCAAGUUUAUCCUUGCAAGCGUUUGGGGUCAAGAACAACUUUCACCAGCAAAAAGUGCAAGACGAGUGAUUGAAGAAAACAAAGUUGCUUCUGCGAUCUAAGAA